rnacentral:rRNA from 1 species
UACGUAGGGGGCAAGCGUUGUCCGGAUUCAUUGGGCGGAAAGAGCGUGUAGGCGGCCAGGUAGGUCGGUUGUGAAAACUGGAGGCUCAACCUUCAGAGGUCGACCGAAACCAUCUGGCUAGAGUCCGGGAGAGGAGAGUGGAAUUCCUGGUGUAGCGGUGAAAUGCGCAGAUAUCAGGAAGAACACCCGUGGCGAAAGCGGCUCUCUGGAACGGUACUGACGCUGAGACGCGAAAGCGUGGUGAGCGAACAGG